rnacentral:rRNA from 1 species
AGAGUUUGAUCCUGGCUCAGAAUGAACGCUAGUAAUAUGCUUUACACAUGCAAGUUGAACGUGAACCGGAAAAGGGAAACGUAGCGAACGGGUGAGUAAAAGAUAGGAAGAUACUUGGUAGUCAGAACGAAAUGUAUGAUAAAGAAAGAUUAAAAUCGCUACCAAAAUUGCCCGUCCAAGAUUAGAUAGUUGGUAAUGUAGAAGAUUACCAAGUCGAUGAUCUUUAGUCGGUUUGGGAGAACGAACGGCCACAUUGGAAUUGAGAAAAGGACCAAUGCCCUUUUGGGUACAGCAGUGGGGAAUAUCGGACAAUGUGCGAAAGCAUGAUCCAGCAAUAUUGCGUGAGUGAUUAAGACUUAAGUAUUUUUGUUGUAAAACUCUUUCGUCGAGGAUUAUCAUGACUUUACUCGAAAAAGAAGCUCCGGCCUAUUCUCGUGCCAGCAGCAGCGGUAAAACGAGGGGAGCAAGUGUUAUUCAUAAUAAUUGGGCGUAAAGUGCAUGUAGGCGGUAGAUUAAGUUCAAAUUAAAAACCUAAAGCUUAACUUUAGACUGAGUUUGAAAACUGAUUAACUAGAGUCUCUUAAAGGAUAGUGGAAUUUCUAGUGUAGAGAUAAAAUUCUUAGAUCCUAGAAGGAACAUCAAAGGCCGAGGCAACUAUCUAGGAGUAGACUGACGCUGAGAUGCGAAAGCAUGGGGAGCAAACAGGAUUAGAUACCCUGGUAGUCCAUGCUGUGAACGAUGAAUGUUAAAUGUCGGAAAAUUCGGCGUUGAUAGCUAACGCUUUAAACAUUUCGCCUGAGGAGUACGAUCGCAAGAUCAAAACUCAAAGGAAUUGGCGGGGGUCAUCACAAGCGGUGGAGCAUGUGGUUUAAUUCGAUAAAACGCGCAGUACCUUACCAACUCUUGACAGUUUAUUUUAUAUUCUCCAAAAAAAGAGAAUGAGAUUAAGAAUAAAAUAAUUAAUGACAGGUGUUGCAUGGCUGUCGUCAGUUCGUGUUGUGAAAUGUUUGGUUAAGUCCUUUAAACGAACGCAACCCUCUUUCAUGUUGCUAAUGAUAUUUUCAUCAAGCACUCUAGAAAACGGUCAGUGAAAGCUGAACGAAGGUGAGGAUAACGUCAAGUCCUUAUGACCCUUAUGAGUUGGGCUACGCACGUGCUACAAUGGCGAUCACAAUGGGAGGCAAUGAUGCGAGUCGGAGCAAAACCUUAAAAAUCGUCAAAGUUCAGAUUGUUCUCUGAAAUUCGGGAAUAUAAAGUUGGAAUCGCUAGUAAUCGCAGAUCAUCACGCUGCGGUGAAUAUGUAAACUGACCUUGUACACACCGCCCGUCAAGUCCUGGGAAUCGAUCAAAUCCAAAAUGAAGAUAGAUGAAAAGAAGCCUUAAGAAAUCUUGUUAUUCAUAUAGUUUUCUUUUAUUUUCUUUCUUUAUCAAGGUUUGGUCUUUAACUGGGAUUAAGUCGUAACAAGGUAACC